rnacentral:rRNA from 1 species
CCCUUAGAUGUCCUGAACCGCACGCGUGUUACACUGACGUAUUCAACGAGCUUAUAACCUUGGCCGAGAGGCCUGGGCAAUCUUGUUAACGUACGUCGUGAUAGGGAUAGAUUAUUGCAAUUAUUAAUCUUGAACGAGGAAUUCCUAGUAAACGCAGAUCAUCAAUCUGCAUUGAUUACGUCCCUGCCCUUUGUACACACCGCCCGUCGCACCUACCGAUUGAAUGGUCCGGUGAAGACUCGGGAUUGUAGCGUGGCUCCUUUAUUGGUGCCUCGCCGCGAGAACUUGUCUAAACCUUAUCAUUUAGAGGAAGGUGAAGUCGUAACA